CCGGGACCUGGCGCUCGGGCGGGCGCGGCGGGCACAGGCCGGGCCGCCGUCGGGGAGGAGCCGACCUGGUUCCCCAGCCUGGACUCGGCUCGGUCAGGGCAGGCGGCGGAGACGGCACCCGGCCGGGUCGGAGGGGCCGCCGCCCUUGGCGUGUGGACGAGCCCCCACCCUGGGGUGCAGGGCCCCGAGAGAUCGGAGUUGAGGCGCGAGUGUGCACCCCUACCUGCCUUGCACACCAGCGCCGUGUGGAACCAGGCCAGGCCUAGAGAUACUGAGAGGAGGCCAAGCAGGACCUGUCAGAGGCGAUGCAGCUCGGGCCUCAUGGAUGGCUCAUCGUGUCUCUGUGAACGGAUGCGACAAUCAGCCACUGUGCAGUACUGAGAGUGGCUCUGCUGGCUGGGCCAGGUCUCACUGCCCGGGUCUCUCAACCCUGCUGCUCUACACUACCAUGGCACUCUGCCAGCAAGACGCUAUGCCAGAUGGGGCCCCCACUCUGCCUUGAGCUGAAA
rnacentral:lncRNA from 1 species